rnacentral:rRNA from 1 species
GACGAACGCUGGCGGCGUGCCUAAUACAUGCAAGUCGAACGCAGUGGGGCCAGGUGAGUAACACGUGGGUAACCUCCCAUCAGAGGGGAUAACACUUGGACACAGGUGCUACACCGAAACUGCUGGAGGGACCCGCGGUGCAUUAGCUAGUUGGGGAGGUAACGGCUCACCAGGGCCACGAUGCAUAGUCGACCUGAGAGGGUGAUCGGCCACACUGGGACUGAGACACGGCCCAGACUCCUACGGUAGGCAGCAGUGGGGAAUCUUGGGAAAUGGACGCAAGUCUGACCGAGCAACGCCGCGUGUGUGAAGAAGGUUUUCGGAUCGUAAAACUCUGUUGUUAGAGAAGCGUUAUCUAACCAGAAAGCACCGGCUAACUACGUGCCAGCAGCCGCGGUAAUAC